UGUCUACAGCCAUACUACCCUGAAGGUGCCUGAUCUCAUCUAAUCUCGGAAACUAAGAAGGGUUGGGCUUGGUUGGUACUUGGAUGGGAGGCCUUGCUUCUUAACUAAAGAAAUUGUGAUAU
rnacentral:rRNA from 1 species